rnacentral:piRNA from 1 species
UGCGUCAUGAUUCUUAUUUCCUGCUCGCA